AAGUAUCUAUCUACAUUUUAAGGCAAAUUCAGUAUGUUGGAACCCACACUGCCACCAAGAAAAGAGCUCUUCUUGGUCCCUGUACAUUUAUUUAUACAUUCCAUGGCAAGAGCCCACCUCCUGUUUCUACAGGCUAGUGUCUUACUGGAAGAAGAAUUUAAAGGAUGCAAAGUUCUAUGAAUGGUGAUGAUCCACAGUAGGUUUUAUCCCAAAACCCUGUUUUCAUGCUUUACAUAGAUAUGCAGUUGAUAUCACCAAUGUUAUUGUAUGUUUCAUCUUGUUUACUGUUUUUGGAGAUAGGGGCAGGGGAAGAGGUCUCCGUAGGAGUAUGCUUUUCGCACACUAUUGCUUUAGGUAAAUUUAGUGAGUAAAACAGGACUUUCACAUGUGUUAAAGGCCAAGCUACAUAAUCAGGCAACAUUAUCUUCUUGUAUCUUCAGAGUAUGUCUGAAUAGAGACGCCGCCUCCCAAAAAAGACGCCUCUCUUAAAAGAUUGCAAAUCUGACUGUAAUUUACUUUCCCGUAAACAAGAUUUAGUUCUUUGUGCUUCAUCCUACUAAUGAGCAUCUUCUUUUGGACAGCAUUUUCCUUAGCCUUGUAAAUGUAUGUGAAUGCCUUAAAAGUUAUCUCAUUAGACUAGUUAAUUUUCUUUUUUAAUUAAACAUCUUAAACAAGGAAACUUGGAGCUUAGGAUCAGUGAAAAUGUGAUUUCCAUCUCCACCUACUGUGCAUUUUACAGGGAUGCAAAUACACGGAAAGCAUUGCCGUAACUUUAGAAACUUCUUACAUCACUGACUAAAAGGAAGACAUAACACUUUCUGCACAAAGACGGAUGGCGGUCUCUCCACUGUGGAAAAACUAAAUGGCUUUUGUCAGGGUGGUACUUCUGCCGUGUAUCGUGAACACUAAUGUUCAUUUGCUGCAAAGAUUGACAGGCCAGCGCUCUAACUUAAUAGAUUCCCGAGCGUGACUUCUUCCGUAGCUGUUCAGAGGAAGUUUCCAUGCUAACCAGACUUACAAAACUUUAACUUUUCCGCUGCAGGGAAUGCCUGGCAACUAAACGGACUACAUUUACUCCACCAUCAAAAUCUUGAAUCAUUAACUCACAACUUUCACUCAGUCCGGUGCGGCUUUGCUUUAAAAACACGCAUGGUAUUUUUUCUUCUUUUUGAAACUUCCUUAAUUAAUAGGUGUGACUAUCUAUGUCUAAACUGUGGGACUCAGGAACACCUCCUAGUUCCUGGUUUGGGAUGCGUGCCCGGCCACACCCUAACAACGUAUUAGGACAAGACCUGUACAUAAACUGGCACCCUCCCUUAAUCUUGUACUUGUCCGCAACUGGGGAGUCAAAAACUGUGUGCCACGCUCCAGCGUAUGUUUAAAGCAGAUUCAUUAUUCUACUGCUGCAUUGCAACUUAGCAUCAUCCCACGUGCAAGUCAGCAAGGCAUACCUUAAGAGAUGGCUCAGAUACGGGUGGUGGAAUGGGACCUUAGUAAAGAUGAAAACGUCCAUGGAUGAAGAGAGAACGAUAGGAGACAUGGAUGCAAAAGUGUCUGUCAAAUCAUUACGGAUUCUAAAACAACCAGCAAAGAAAGGCUAAAGAUACACUUCAGGAAAACGAAGUGAGAGAGUCACAGAAUUAAAGAGGUGGAACGCCUGUAAAAAGAAAGAACUGAAAGAACUAUCAGAGAGAGAAAAGGGGGAAAAAACCCAAAGAAAAUAUAGCUAAUGCCUUGGAAAUAUUCUACAACGCUACCGGUGCCACAAUUUAUUUCUGUACACAGCAAAAUCUCUUCUAUCUGACUGCAAAUCUCUUAAGGGUACAAUUCUAAUCACCCAGCCUAGUCCACCGGAGUAAAUCCAGAGCAACUACACUGAAAUCUGUGGAGUAACUCCAGAAUUUACACUGACGUUAUAGUGGCCAGAAUCUGACUCUAUACAAAAUAGUUAUUUCCCCCUAUUUAUGCUAAACUACUGUCACUUGCGUUUCUACUCACAUCUGUUGUAACAAGCUGUGAAUUCAUUUGACCCAAAAGCUGCUUUGUUCCUAAGAAAUGU